GUAUCAUGGCUCAGGAUGAACGCUAGCUACAGGCUUAACACAUGCAAGUCGAGGGGAAACGACAUCGAGAGCUUGCUUCCGAUGGGCGUCGACCGGCGCACGGGUGAGUAACGCGUAUCCAACCUGCCCACCACUUGGGGAUAACCUUGCGAAAGUAAGACUAAUACCCAAUGAAUAUCUCUAGAAGACAUCUGAAAGAGAUUAAAGAUUUAUCGGUGAUGGAUGGGAUGCGU
rnacentral:rRNA from 1 species